UACGAAGGGGGCUAGCGUUGUUCGGAAUUACUGGGUGUAAAGCGCACGUAGGCGGAUUUGCCAGUCAGGGGUGAAAUCCCGGGGCUCAACCUCGGAACUGUCUCUGAUACAGCAAGUCUUGAGUCCGGAAGAGGUGGGUGGAAUUCCUAGUGUAGAGGUGAAAUUCGUAGAUAUUAGGAAGAACACCAGUGGCGAAGGCGGCCCACUGGUCCGGUACUGACGCUGAGGUGCGAAAGCGUGGGGAGCAAACAGG
rnacentral:rRNA from 1 species